rnacentral:rRNA from 1 species
UACGUAGGGGGCAAGCGUUGUCCGGAUUUAUUGGGCGUAAAGCGCUCGCAGGUGGUUCGAUGCGUCGUGCGUGAAAGACCCCGGCUCAACUGGGGAGUGUCACGCGAUACUGAUCGACUCGAAGGCAGGAGAGGGAAGUGGAAUUCCCGGUGUAGCAGUGAAAUGCGUAGAUAUCAAGUGGAACACCAGUGGCGAAGGCGAGUCCCUGGACAACUCCUGACACUGAGGCACGAAAGCUAGGGGAGCAAACAGG